rnacentral:rRNA from 1 species
AGGUGAACCUGCGGAAGGAUCAUAGUAAUCGUCUUUGACGUUCUGUUCCGUCGUCCUCGGGACGUUAAGGUGCUCUGGUCGAGGAUAAACGACCCCUCUGACCGAGGCUAAGCAGUCGCUGUGUUACCUCUGUCCGAGGCACACGUUAAAGAUCGUUCCGCGUUGUGAGUCUAACAAGUUGUAAACUUUUACAACCGGCAGCGCUGGAUCCCUUGGCACGUCAUUCGAUGAAGACCGUUGCAAAUUGCGAUAAAGUGAUGUGAUGCGCAAGUCCACCACUUAUACGUGAAUCAUCGAGUUGUUGAACGCAUUGCACCGCGCCCUAAUCCGGCUGCGGUAUGCCCCUUUGAGCGUCAUUUAUUCCUUCGGGAGUCUUUCCUUGCGGAAGACCCGAGUUCGGAGUCCUCGGUCUCUGGAUCGUGUUCUCUUAGAUGCGUCGCGCCGAUCGCCUGAUGGGUACUCUAAUGCCUGAGCGUGGAGUCCCUCUGGAGUUGAGACGUGCUUGACCGGCCGUUGGGCUCGCGUCACCAAGUCCGUGUCCUUUGGGACGGCGGUACUACAACGCAUGACCUCAUUGGGGUAGGACAACCCGCUAGACUUAAGCAUAUUAAUCAG